rnacentral:rRNA from 1 species
UACGUAGGGUGCAAGCGUUGUCCGGAAUUAUUGGGCGUAAAGAGCUCGUAGGCGGUUCGUCGCGUCGGCUGUGAAAUCCCGAGGCUCAACCUCGGGUCUGCAGUCGAUACGGGCGGACUGGAGUUCGGCAGGGGAGACUGGAAUUCCUGGUGUAGCGGUGAAAUGCGCAGAUAUCAGGAGGAACACCGGUGGCGAAGGCGGGUCUCUGGGCCGAAACUGACGCUGAGGAGCGAAAGCGUGGGGAGCGAACAGG